GUGUAGGGAAUGGUAGAAGCAGAUGCUGGGAGAGAGGAAGUGGUCCUGAGGUAAUAGCUAGCAUCAGAGGUGAGGUGACAGGGAGUGGAGUGGAGGCUACUGUUUAUUUAAGGACCUGAGAGCAGGAGCCUGUAGUGUAAGGUUGAACAAGGCACCCCUCUCUCUCAGCCAACCAGGCCAAGUUCUGAGAAGGAGGGCCACUAGCAGGAGGAGGACUGCUUCUCUCUUCCAGCCCAAGGGGAAACGACUGAGGUGGCCCCUAAGUGGUAAGGAUGAUUGGAUGACUACACCCCAGCAGAGAUGUCUGAGAGGAAAGGGAGCAAAGAGUCCUGUGGCACCUAAUAGACUAACAGACGUAUUGGAGCAUGAGCUUUUGUGGGUGAAUACCUGCUUCGUGGGAUGCAUGAGAGGAAAGGGCUUUCUCAUGAAGUUGUACAUAAUGUUCCACUUUCUUGUCUGAUCUCAAGUGUCACUGAACAUGAAAAUGAAGCUAUUUAUUACGAGUAGUAGCACUAACAAUAGAAAAAUCAAGGUUUUCUAAAAACAAGCUGCAGGGGGGCUGAAGCCCUGAUUCCCAGGGCCCGCCGCAGGGCUGAAGCCGGAGCCGUGGGGCUGAAUGCCUGAACCCUGGCAACCACCGUGAGGCUGAAGGCAGGAGCUGAAUCUUGGAUUCCUGGUGCUCUCCAUGGAGCAGAAGCCCUCUGAGCCCAUGGACAGAGUUGGGGGGCACCGGGAAUGUUGCCACCCCAAAGUGCAGUGCACGUGAAUGGGUAUCCCGGGAGCAGCUCCACACCCCCCACACCUCCUUCUCUCUCUGCCCUCUGGCCAGUUUGGAAGCAGGAAACUGGAGCUGGGCAGUGCGGGGCAACUGCUCCUCUAGCUGGUGCCAUGGAGCAGGCAGCCAGGGUGUUCCCUCCUCUCCUGCUGGCUGCUCCUCAGCUCCCAGCCCCCUUUUCUCACACAGACGGUAAGAGCCCUAGGGGUCGGGCUGGCAGAGCCCUCAGGGAACAGAGACUUCUCCCUGCACCCUGAGCUACCCCACUGCCUGCACAGAGCCGCUAGCU